AGAGUUUGAUCAUGGCUCAGGAUGAACGCUAGCGGCAGGCUUAACACAUGCAAGUCGAGGGGCAGCACGGGUAGCAAUAUCUGGUGGCGACCGGCGCAAGGGUGCGUAACGCGUGAGCAACAUGCCCGUAUCAGGGGGAUAAUCCAGGGAAACUUGGUCUAAUACCCCAUAGCAAUUAAAGGAGGCAUCUUUUUUAAUUUAAAGCUUUGGUGGAUACGGAUUGGCUCGCGUGACAUUAGCUAGAUGGUAAGGUAACGGCUUACCAUGGCUACGAUGUCUAGGGGUUCUGAGAGGAAGAUCCCCCACACUGGAACUGAGACACGGUCCAGACUCCUACGGGAGGCAGCAGUGAGGAAUAUUGGACAAUGGAUGGAAAUCUGAUCCAGCCAUGCCGCGUGCAGGAAGACGGCCCUAUGGGUUGUAAACUGCUUUUGUAUGGGAGCAAUAAGGUCUAUGCGUAGACUGAUGAGAGUACCAUACGAAUAAGCAUCGGCUAACUCCGUGCCAGCAGCCGCGGUAAUACGGGGGAUGCAAGCGUUAUCCGGAUUUAUUGGGUUUAAAGGGUGCGUAGGCGGUUUGAUAAGUCAGCGGUGAAAUAUUUCAGCUUAACUGAAAGGGUGCCGUUGAUACUGUCAGGCUUGAAUAUGGUUGCUGUGGGUGGAAUGUGUGGUGUAGCGGUGAAAUGCUUAGAUAUCACACAGAAUAUCGAUUGCGAAGGCAGCUCACAAAGCCAUUAUUGACGCUGAUGCACGAAAGUGUGGGGAUCAAACAGGAUUAGAUACCCUGGUAGUCCACACUGUAAACGAUGAUAACUCGCUGUCGGCGAUACACAGUCGGUAGCCAAGCGAAAGCGAUAAGUUAUCCACCUGGGGAGUACGACCGCAAGGUUGAAACUCAAAGGAAUUGACGGGGGCCCGCACAAGCGGAGGAACAUGUGGUUUAAUUCGAUGGUACGCGAGGAACCUUACCCGGGCUCGAA
rnacentral:rRNA from 1 species